rnacentral:lncRNA from 1 species
GGAGGAUGUGCAGCUGGGUGGCUCCACUGGGCCAUCCUGAGAGGAUGAGACUGUUGUGCAGUGGGGCCAGGCCAUCUGGCUGCCCUCACCCACCCAGGCCAGCUCAGCCUUUAUUCCCUCUUGACAGGCUGCAUUUCCCAGAACUCUGCUGCUUGGGUCACAAACCUCAGGGUCAGGAAGGGCUCCAAGAGCAGCUCCUACUCCACUUAGUGAAGGACAGAAGACAUCCGGGGCCCGCAAGGGGAGGUGACAGACUGCUGGCCUGCUGUUGCCAUGAAGCCCUGAGGACCUCCUCUCCUCUGCCUCACUCGCAGACACCAAUUCAGCGCCUCCUGUAUGCCAGGCAUCAGGAAUGCCCAGCUGGAGAGGAAGAGUCCACACCUCCUGCAAUCCACAGCAUGUGCAUGGUCUCUAUGUACCAAGCACUGUCUAUUCUCUCUUUCCUUUUCCUUUCCUUUUCUUCUUUCUUUUUUUUUUUUUUUUUUGUUAGUGAGGAUUGAACUCACAACCUUGCACUUGCCAAGCAGGCACUUGUGCCGCUGAGCUAAAUCCCCAGCCCUACUAAACAUUGUCUUAAACAUUUCAC